AUUGAACGCUGGCGGAAUGCUUUACACAUGCAAGUCGAACGGCAGCACGGGAGCAAUCCUGGUGGCGAGUGGCGAACGGGUGAGUAAUGUAUCGGAACGUGCCCAGUUGUGGGGGAUAACUGCUCGAAAGAGCAGCUAAUACCGCAUACGACCUGAGAGUGAAAGCGGGGGAUCGCAAGACCUCGCGCAAUUGGAGCGGCCGAUAUCAGAUUAGGUAGUUGGUGGGGUAAAGGCCCACCAAGCCAACGAUCUGUAGCUGGUCUGAGAGGACGACCAGCCACACUGGGACUGAGACACGGCCCAGACUCCUACGGGAGGCAGCAGUGGGGAAUUUUGGACAAUGGACGCAAGUCUGAUCCAGCCAUGCCGCGUGCGGGAAGAAGGCCUUCGGGUUGUAAACCGCUUUUGUCAGGGAAGAAACGGCUUUCUCUAAUACAGAGGGCUAAUGACGGUACCUGAAGAAUAAGCACCGACUAACUACGUGCCAGCAGCCGCCGUAAAAC
rnacentral:rRNA from 1 species